rnacentral:misc_RNA from 1 species
GUAUUUUAAGUGAGUAGUGAGUAAUAGUAAUUGAAUGAAGUGAAGAUAGAAUUCAUAUGUUAAUUCACUGAAUUACAUUUUUAUGAUGUUCAAAGUGAAUCUCGACAGGUUCUGAUCGUUUAUUAGUUAAUUAAUCCUCCGUUAAUUCUGAUUUUUGCUUUGUUAAUUUCUUUAUCUUAUGGGCAAAUGAUGAAAUUUUUAUAUCGUAAAUGGGUAAUUUGCG